UAUAGCUGGCAUUUGCCUUUGGCCUACCAUGACCUGACUCUAAAGUCUGAAUCAUAGCAUCCUUUUGGCCUUAAGUUUCCAUCCUAAUGGAACAUUCUCUUCACAUAAGUUUUCCCAUUUGUCAGUCCAAAUUCCUGGAAAGGACUCCACCUGGCACGGCUCAUCUUUUGAGCCAGGUUGUGCUGGUCACAUCCUCACUCACAUGACCAGUGACCUUUGGUUUGAUGCUUUUUUCCUGUCUAAUCAACUAUUGUCCUGGGAUGAAUUGUGACUUGGGAGACAGGUGACUUCUGUGCAGUGACAGGGGCUUCAGGAGGAAACUGGGGGGGAGGGUAAGGAAUGCACAUGUGAUACUUCUCCCCCCACCCCACCCACUAACCAGGUGAAUGAGACAUGAAGGACCUUGGCAGUGGGGUUCAAAAGUUUGGUCACUGAGAGCUGAGAUGGAGACGAAGUUUAUGUUACAUUAUCAUGACCCUAAUCUUCAAUGCACGUCGAUGCACCCUGCACUUCAAUGCAGGCUGGGGUGGCCUGGAAGAUGGGGCUGCAGUUACUGACUUCCGAGAGGUCACAGAAGAUCCAGGCUGGAAGGGACUUCAGGGACCACCCUACCCAUCGGUUCUCAGCCCCACUGCCCAUGAGGAUCCCUGGGGAGCUUUUGCAAACUUAAGCCCCUGGGGCCCCACCUCAGGGAUACUGAUGUAAAUAUCCUCAGAUGCUUUUAGUGCCCCCAAGACCUACUGCUCUCACUUGACCCUCUUCAUUUUACAGGUGGUGAAACAUCAGCUCGGCGGCAUAAUGUGACCAUGACUCACUUGAAGAUUCCAAUUCUAACUCCAAGACAGAUCCCAGGUUAGGGCUGGCAGGGAUCACAGAAGCCAUGCAAUCCAACCCCACUCUCACUUGAGCCUAAGCAGCAGCUAUGUGACUUGUCCAAGGAGUCAUGGCCACACAGGGGGGCUAGAACUCUUAACCUCUGCUUAUAACACUGAGGCUAGAGGACCAAAAGGACCAGAUGGGAGGGAAGCAGACCCAGCUGCAGACCUGCACUUGCUCUGCACCAGGGCGCCUCUCCAGCAGUACGGCUGGAACAGUUUGGCAGAGGAGCUUGGACAUAAACAGACGUGGAGCUGGCUCUGGCAAAGAAAUCAGCACUUGGGUGCCCUGAGGAUGGGGAGGAGGCUAAUCCUUGUUUUUUUGCCUGUCUCCCAAUUAUGCUGGGUGAGUGUGUGUAUGUGCGUGUGUGUGUGUGUGUGCUCCUGAUCAACUGACAGCUGGGUUGGAGCCCGGAUUGCAGUGUGCUCAAAGACUGCCUCCUGGGUAUCUGCGGCACUGUGAUUUUUGUUGAGUUGGACUGUAAGGUUCCUGCUGGGAUGAUCGCACACCUGUUUUCGAGGCUACAUGUCCAGCUUCUGUGGCACCAUCUCUACACUCACUCAGGCCUGACGGCUUCUCUGGGCUCAAGGGGUGGGCAGGGCCCUGUUUCCACCCACAUGGACCCUCCCACCCCCCGCUGCUACGGCCCUCUCCAUCACUGACCUACUGCAGAACCAUCAGGGAGAACUGGCCCUUGGUGCCAGGGAGAAAUCCCCUUGGUGCGAUGGAGACCAAGGACUGGCCAUCUCCUCCUCCGCCCCUCUGGUCCCCUGUGUCACCCAUCGUGAGGUUCCAGAGGCCUUACAGUCUAGCACGAGGGACAUGAGAGUGCUUGGGUCACUGCAGACUAAGACUUUCUGCCUCAGUUCUUUGGCCGCAUCUUUCAUGACUCAGCUCCAAUGUCAUGUCAUGUCUGUGGUGUGGCUUUCCCCUAGGCCCACAGCCAGAAGUCUCACUGCACCAACUUCUCUCUAAUUGAGCUCUCAGAUAAGUUCCUUUCCUCUGGCCACCUCAGUUUCUUCAUCUGCGAAAUGGAGAUACUGUUACCAAACUCAUCUCACAGGACAUUGGGAAGAUCCAUGAUAAGCCCAUGGAUGGAAGAGCCCAGUUCCUCUGCCCUUGCCCCCCCCCCUUGCCAUGCAGCGGAGAUGGGGAGACACCCUGAGUGAGCUGACUGCCCAUCUGUCCACAAAGCUGAUAAAACCAAGCUCUUUCCAGGAUGGCCAUUUCCUCCUCCCUACCCAUGGAAUUCCUAUUCAGCCUUCGAGGACCAGCUCAAAUGUCAUCUCUCCUUCGAAGCCUUCCUGCGGUCCCCAGAGAAAGCACAUUUUCCUCUCCCUUGCGCUCCUCUAAUUCUUCAUUCCCAUUAAAUCUCUUGUUUCCUUUUAACUUUUA